rnacentral:tRNA from 1 species
GCACCAAUGGUCUAGUGGUGGAAUAGUACCCUGCCACGGUACAUACCCGGGUUCGAUUUCCGGGUGGUGCA